rnacentral:rRNA from 2 species
ACGAACUCUGGUAUUGUUUGGUGCUUGCAUCAUGAUUUACAUUUGAGUGAGUGGCGAACUGGUGAGUAACACGUGGGAAACCUGCCCAGAAGCGGGGGAUAACACCUGGAAACAGAUGCUAAUACCGCAUAACAACUUGGACCGCAUGGUCCGAGUUUGAAAGAUGGCUUCGGCUAUCACUUUUGGAUGGUCCCGCGGCGUAUUAGCUAGAUGGUGGGGUAACGGCUCACCAUGGCAAUGAUACGUAGCCGACCUGAGAGGGUAAUCGGCCACAUUGGGACUGAGACACGGCCCAAACUCCUACGGGAGGCAGCAGUAGGGAAUCUUCCACAAUGGACGAAAGUCUGAUGGAGCAACGCCGCGUGAGUGAAGAAGGGUUUCGGCUCGUAAAACUCUGUUGUUAAAGAAGAACAUAUCUGAGAGUAACUGUUCAGGUAUUGACGGUAUUUAACCAGAAAGCCACGGCUAACUACGUGCCAGCAGCCGCGGUAAUACGUAGGUGGCAAGCGUUGUCCGGAUUUAUUGGGCGUAAAGCGAGCGCAGGCGGUUUUUUAAGUCUGAUGUGAAAGCCUUCGGCUCAACCGAAGAAGUGCAUCGGAAACUGGGAAACUUGAGUGCAGAAGAGGACAGUGGAACUCCAUGUGUAGCGGUGAAAUGCGUAGAUAUAUGGAAGAACACCAGUGGCGAAGGCGGCUGUCUGGUCUGUAACUGACGCUGAGGCUCGAAAGUAUGGGUAGCAAACAGGAUUAGAUACCCUGGUAGUCCAUACCGUAAACGAUGAAUGCUAAGUGUUGGAGGGUUUCCGCCCUUCAGUGCUGCAGCUAACGCAUUAAGCAUUCCGCCUGGGGAGUACGGCCGCAACGCUGAAACUCAAGGAAUUGACGGGGGCCCGCACAAGCGGUGGAGCAUGUGGUUUAAU